CCUACAUUCCGUCCUUAGGGUGGUCAAGUAUCCAUUGAAGCCCUGCUGGCCGGGGCAACUGGCACCCAACAUGGAUGAAACCACCUCUUGAGGAUUCAGAAUGUCGUCUCCUGGAGGAAAGACCAAGGCCUUGGUGAAGUUUUUGGAUCCCCCUGAAAUCUCCCGGUUCAGGACGCGAUCCCAGAGGAGCGCGGAGGUGACGCAGAGCACUGGAAAGACCAGGAAAGGGGAGAGACUAGCGCCCUGACAAGCCCUGACAAAGCCCUGAAGAACAGGAGUUCCAACCCUGAGCCACACAGCUUCCCUCGGGCUGAACUCUGCCACUGGCCCAGGCAGCAGUCACAGGAAGCUGGCCACAGAGCAACUGGGAGUCGGAUACAAGCAGGAGACCACAGGCUGCCCUUCUCCUUUGGCUUCCAGGAGGAUCACAGUCGCCCUCUUCUAAAACCCGCCCAGCAAAAAGCAUCAAGACAAUGAGGCCACAUACUGGGCCACAUGUCCCUGCAGCGCUGGCUUCUGUGAGUGCAAGGUAGCAGUGACUUGGCAUUCUGGGGAGACCGGGAAUAGAGCAGCAGAAUACUAGGUCCCUUUCCUUGAUAUUCUGAGCCGCCCCUUGGGGACUUCUUGCCCAGCGUCCUGAUGUCGUCUUAUGAAAAGUCCUCUUUAAGAAAAAACUCCCUCUUCGUUCUCUCUCCUGACUCUUGCCAGAGGUAGAGUGCACCUCCCUCUUUCCCUCUCUCCCCCCCUUUAAUAACAAACUUUCCACGUGGA